GUCAGGGGCCUGUUGCACAAAAGUAGAAUUAAGACAUCCGGGAUAAAUGACUCAGCUGAGCUCAAUGAAGCCAAAACAUGUGCAUCCAGGCUUAAUUGGUUGCACAAAGACCAAGCCAGGAUGAGUAGACACGGAUUCAUUAAGCCAGGUGAAACCAAUCCUGGAUAGGUGCGCGCUCACGGCUCACUCAAAUAGACCCCGCCACAGAUCACAGAUUAACUGAUUUACCAUGGCAACUAGAGCCGCGUACUUUUCCCCGUCGGAAGCACAAAUCCUCAUGGAGGCAUACGAGGAGGUAAAAGAUAUAAUUAAGAAGAAAGGCAACACCGCCACAGUGAUAAAGCAAAGAGAAAAAGCGUGGCAAAGUAUUGCAGACCGCCUGAAUGCGUAAGUAGUGCACAAUUACACACUCACCGCUCCGCUGAAACAUCACAAUUACAAUUCAAAUAUUUAAUUCACAUCUCCAAAAAUGCAGUUGUACUGUAAUUAUGAAACGGUUAAAUUUUUAAUUGAAAUGCACUGCAGAUAUGAGUGAAAUUGUGUAAAGUAACUCCAUCACACUGUAUAAAGCUAUGAUACAUUUUUUGAUAUUUUUACUGAAAACAAGACAAAAAUACCAAGUAAUUUUUUGCAGUGUGACUCCAUUAAAUGUGUGUGUGUGUGUGUGUGUGUGUGUGUAGAUUAAACAUGAACGGGCCAAAACGGACAUGGCAGCAGGUCAAAAUCAAAUACAAGAACAUUCUGCAGAAUGCAGUGAAAAAGAAUACCCACAGACAAGGCACGGGUGGUGGGUCACCAAAGGCUGACCUUACCCCAGCAGAGGACAUGGCCUUGGAGCUAAAUAAAGGCAGGCCCGUCUUAAGAGGGGAUCCCUGGGGGGAAAGAGACGAGCAUAGCUUCCUCCCAAGAUGCCACCCGCUUCAUUCAAGUGCCUGGCAGCACUGUGUUCCUGUUAGAGCCACCAGCACAAGCACCAGACGAUGCUGAUCCAGGUGAAGGCCCCAGUGCAGCAGCAACAGCACAUGAUGGAGACGAUGAUGAGGAGGAGACCAUCUCUCUGGAUUCCAGAAGGCAUGAGGACCCAGAUGCUAUACAGUGGGAAAACCAGCCUGGCAACAUAGUGCGUAUUAAUAAAAGGACACCACAUCCUGCCAAAUUCCAGCUGCGCUAAUUGUAUUGUGUUCACAGAGCUCACAAGCUAUCAGAAAGUUGUAUGGCAACCACCUCCGGCGCCAAAUAGAACUGGCAGACAUAGACAUUCAGUACAAGAAGAAAAAGAUGGAAAGUCUUGCACUGGAGUCCGAAAUAAAAAAGAGGACAAUUAGGAAACUGGACCUUGAAAUAAAAAAACUUGAGAGGGAGCUCCAAGAAGAUGACACAGCUCAAAAUAAAAAUUAGGUAUAUUCUCGUAAAGUCAAGUGAGCCAUGAGAUAUGAGCUCUUAUUGUGAGCACACAGGACGGUGGCAUAUUUCUAAGUUUUUUUAUUUUCCCAGCAAUCAGUACAACCAAGUCAUCGUUAUA